GGUAGUAUGCAGUUUAGACAUGGAGCUGAUGGAUCAGAUCUCCCAGAUGAUUCCUGAUAUGUAUCAGCUUUGUUGUUCUUGACAUUGGAUGUGGUGUGUUCGUCGGAGGGAUCGAAGAAAUCUUCUGAUGAGGACAAGCG